rnacentral:rRNA from 1 species
GAUGAACGCUGGCGGCGUGCCUAAUACAUGCAAGUCGAGCGAACGGACGAGAAGCUUGCUUCUCUGAUGUUAGCGGCGGACGGGUGAGUAACACGUGGAUAACCUACCUAUAAGACUGGGAUAACUUCGGGAAACCGGAGCUAAUACCGGAUGAUAUUUUGAACCGCAUGGUUCAAAAGUGAAAGACGGUCUUGCUGUCACUUAUAGAUGGAUCCGCGCUGCAUUAGCUAGUUGGUAAGGUAACGGCUUACCAAGGCAACGAUGCAUUGCCGACCUGAGAGGGUGAUCGGCCACACUGGAACUGAGACACGGUCCAGACUCCUACGGGAGGCAGCAGUAGGGAAUCUUCCGCAAUGGGCGAAAGCCUGACGGAGCAACGCCGCGUGAGUGAUGAAGGUCUUCGGAUCGUAAAACUCUGUUAUUAGGGAAGAACAUAUGUGUAAGUAACUGUGCACAUCUUGACGGUACCUAAUCAGAAAGCCACGGCUAACUACGUG